CCUACGUGAGGCAGCAGUGAGGAAUAUUGGUCAAUGGACGAAAGUCUGAACCAGCCAAGUCGCGUGAAGGAUGACUGCCCUAUGGGUUGUAAACUUCUUUUAUCUGGGAAUAAAAUGUUCCACGUGUGGGAUUUUGUAUGUACCAUCUGAAUAAGGAUCGGCUAACUCCCUGCCAGCAGCCGCGGUAAUACGGCGGAUCCGGCCGUUAUCCGGAUUUAUUGGGUUUAAAGGGAUAGUAGGUGGAUUGUUAAGUCAGUCGUGAAAGUUUGCGGCUCAACCGUAAAAUUGCAGUUGAAACUGGCAGUCUUGAGUACAGUAGAGGUAGGCGGAAUUCGUGGUGUAGCGGUGAAAGGCUUAGAUACCACGAAGAAUUCCGAUUGCGAAGGCAGCACACUGGACUGCAACUGACACUGAGGCUCGAAAGUGUGGGUAUCAAACAGGAUUAGAUACCCGAGUAGUC
rnacentral:rRNA from 1 species